AUACUUACCUGGCAGGGGAGAUACCAUGAUCACAAAGGUGGUUUUACCAGGGUGAGGCUUAUCUCUUGCACACUGGAUGUGCUGGCCCCUGCGAUUUCCCCAAAUGCUGGAAACUCAAGUGCAUAUUUGUGAUAGUGGGGGACUGAGUUCGUGCUGUCCCCUG